rnacentral:misc_RNA from 1 species
GAAAUGCGAUAAGUAAUGCGAAUUGCAGAAUUCCGUGAGUCAUCGAAUCUUUGAACGCACAUUGCGCCCUUUGGUAUUCCGAAGGGCAUGCCUGUUCGAGCGUCAUUAUCAACCCUCAAGCUCGGCUUGUUUAUUGGACCUAGCAUCGAACGUUAACCGUCGGUGGGCCCGAAAGAUAAUGGCAGAGUCGGAUGGACCCUGGAUGCAGCGAGCUUUUUUUCUAGCACGCAUCACGGGGGUCGUUUGGGCUCGGUCUUAACCAGGAUUUUUUUAAAAUCUGCUUCUAUGGUUGACCUCGGAUCAGGUAGGGAUACCCGCUGAACUUAA